UACGUAGGGCCCGAGCGUUAUCCGGUAUUAUUGGGCGUAAAGAGUGCGUAGGCGGUUUAGUAAGACCGUGGUUAAAGCCCCGAGCUCAACUCGGGAUCUGCCAUGGUGACUGCUAGACUUGACGAUAGCAGGGGCAAAUGGAAUUCUCGGUGUAGGAGUGAAAUCCGUUGAGAUCGAGAAGAACACCAAUGGCGAAGGCAGUUUGCUAGGCUAUCCGUGACGCUGAGGCACGAAAGCGUGGGGAGCGAAC
rnacentral:rRNA from 1 species